rfam:Apaloderma vittatum contig40750, whole genome shotgun sequence.
CCAAAGGCUCUUUUAAGAGCCACUACAUGCACGAUGAAAAGAGCUGU